AGUGAACGCUGGCGGUAGGCCUAACACAUGCAAGUCGAACGGCAGCACAGUAAGAGCUUGCUCUUACGGGUGGCGAGUGGCGGACGGGUGAGGAAUACAUCGGAAUCUACUUUUUCGUGGGGGAUAACGUAGGGACACUUACGCUAAUACCGCAUACGACCUACGGGUGAAAGCAGGGGAUCUUCGGACCUUGCGCGAUUGAAUGAGCCGAUGUCGGAUUAGCUAGUUGGCGGGGUAAAGGCCCACCAAGGCGACGAUCCGUAGCUGGUCUGAGAGGAUGAUCAGCCACACUGGAACUGAGACACGGUCCAGACUCCUACGGGAGGCAGCAGUGGGGAAUAUUGGACAAUGGGCGCAAGCCUGACCCAGCCAUACCGCGUGGGUGAAGAAGGCCUUCGGGUUGUAAAGCCCUUUUGUUGGGAAAGAAAAGCAGCAGGUUAAUACCCCGCUGUUCUGACGGUACCCAAAGAAUAAGCACCGGCUAACUUCGUG
rnacentral:rRNA from 1 species